GUGAGUAACGCGUGGGAAUCUACCUAGCUCUACGGAAUAACUCAGGGAAACUUGAACUAAUACCGUAUACGCCCUUUGGGGGAAAGAUUUAUCGGAGUUGGGUGAGCCCGCGUCUGAUUAGCUAGUUGGUGGGGUAAAGGCCUACCAAGGCGACGAUCAGUAGCUGGUCUGAGAGGAUGAUCAGCCACACUGGGACUGAGACACGGCCCAGACUCCUACGGGAGGCAGCAGUGGGGAAUAUUGGACAAUGGGCGCAAGCCUGAUCCAGCCAUGCCGCGUGAGUGAUGAAGGCCCUAGGGUUGUAAAGCUCUUUCACCGGUGAAGAUAAUGACGGUAACCGGAGAAGAAGCCCCGGCUAACUUCGUGCCAGCAGCCGCGGUAAUACGAAGGGGGCUAGCGUUGUUCGGAAUUACUGGGCGUAAAGCGCACGUAGGCGGACCAUUAAGUCAGGGGUGAAAUCCCGGGGCUCAACCCCGGAACUGCCUUUGAUACUGGUGGUCUCGAGUUCGAGAGAGGUGAGUGGAAUUCCGAGUGUAGAGGUGAAAUUCGUAGAUAUUCGGAGGAACACCAGUGGCGAAGGCGGCUCACUGGCUCGAUACUGACGCUGAGGUGCGAAAGCGUGGGGGAGCAAACAGGAUUAGAUACCCUGGUAGUCCACGCCGUAAAC
rnacentral:rRNA from 1 species